rnacentral:lncRNA from 12 species
AAAAGCCGCAAGAAAUGAAUUAUUCUUGUCUGGUUAUUUGAGGGACAAAUAAAAGAGCUGCUGAAUGCUGCAGAGAGCAGGAACGGCCACCAUGCCAAGGGUCCCGGCCCAGAAAAAUCAGAUUCACACCCAUGAGAUCUUGAUUGAAAUAAAAGCCAACACCAAUGGUAAAGGUAAAAUAUGAACUCGCACAGAAUUCUCAGCCUGGAUGCUUGAGCCACCCCAUCCUGCCUCCCCUGUGGCACAAAGGGAGCUGGGCUGUGACCCACCCUCCCCACGGGCUGCUGCACACCGAGCUUCCACGGUGUUUAAUGCUCUCCAGCACCAUUUGGUGCACGCAGAUCAGUCAGGCUUUGAUAAGAUCAUAGCAGGAGGACAGGAGGAAAUUGCAGUCUUGCCCAAUGCUUGAUCUUGUGCUGCUGAACCUGCUGUAUGGGAGACGUGAUGGUCCAGCCUUAAUGGCAUCAUAUUAAGCUGAGACAAUGCAGCCCCAUGACCUUGUGAUGCUUGAUAGCCAUAUGUGCUAUUUUAAUGAAAAAUCGGGGCUUAAGUGAAUGGCUGCCCAUGGGCUGAGGGCUGUUAGCAGCAUCUCGCUCUGAGCUGGGGGAGGGAAUUGGGAUGUAAUAGCCGUAAUCAUCCCUCAGUCAAUGACCUUCUGCCUCCUCUGAUCGUGGCCCACGGGGCUGGUGGAGAGGCAAACCCAACAGGACUGUGACCCACCUGAGGCUGCCGGGCUCAGAUUUGGGUUUGGGCCUGUUUUCCUCAGAAGGAGCCAAAAAAUAUCUGCGACUGCCAGAUCACUCAGAUGCGUUGGGGGCGAAGCACAACGGGAUCCAGAGUUAUUCCCCCCUGCUCCAGCCUCCUCCACACCUCUGGGAGCAGGGACUGGGGUGAACACCCCUUCCAGCCACACGCACUGGGUUUCCUCCCCCCCAACAAAUUGAAGCUGAAGUGCCUGAGGAAGACAGUUGAGGGAGCCCGGCGGGGCGAGGUGCCCUCACCUUGCGGAGCGCGGGGAUUGCGACACCCCAGCGAAGAGGUAAAAUUUACAUCCCAUAAAUCACAUGUCAAGUGCCUGCGAGGAGAGGUCAUUAAACAGAUGUAUGAGGCAAGAGGCAAAGUCCAUCCAUUUCAGGAGAGGCUCCCAGUGUCAGCAGCUCUCCAGAAGCCUCAAGAGGCAGAGGGAUCCAACCGGCACGGCAGCAGCUUCCCUCGUAGCCUCUUAUUUAUUUCCUCCUCUAUUUAUUUGAUGGCAUUCUCUUUAUUGGAAGAACUUCCCGGGCUCUGCUGUCCCCUGUCACAGCUGCCCAGUGUGGGGGCUGUGAGAGGGGAGGGUGGCACAUCAAACAGCUCGGGAGGGAUGGAGUGAUGGAUGGAGGCUGCCCUGUGAUUAAUAAUCAAACCAAGAGCUUUUACUGGGCAUCAUGUGGAAAAUGUGGCUUUGGAAACAUUUGUCUUCAUCCCACAAACAACAAGAGGUGUUUCUUUCCCUUUCUUUGUUUCUCUCUCUCCCCUCCCUUUCCUCCCUCCCUCUCCCUCUUUUUGCUUUCCUUGCCCAGAAUCACUGAUUAAAAUCUUUUCCAUGCUUUACCUGCUCCAAGUGGCUCCUGUUCUGGUUUGAUUUAUG